GGUGCGUUGGCUGAGUGGUCGAAAGCGCCGCACUCGAAAUGCGGUGUGCCAGCGAUGGUACCGUCGGUUCGAAUCCGACACGCACCUCCA
rnacentral:tRNA from 1 species